AACGAACGCUGGCGGCAGGCUUAACACAUGCAAGUCGAACGAUGUAGCAAUACAUAGUGGCGCACGGGUGAGUAACGCGUGGGAAUGUACCAUUUGGUAGGGAAUAACUCCGGGAAACUGGAGCUAAUACCGCAUACGCCCUUCGGGGGAAAGAUUUAUCGCCAAAUGAUCAGCCCGCGUGAGAUUAGGUAGUUGGUGGGGUAAUGGCCUACCAAGCCGACGAUCUCUAGCUGGUCUUAGAGGAUGACCAGCCACACUGGAACUGAGACACGGUCCAGACUCCUACGGGAGGCAGCAGUGGGGAAUAUUGGGCAAUGGACGAAAGUCUGACCCAGCCAUGCCGCGUGAGUGAUGAAGGCUCUAGGGUUGUAAAGCUCUUUCGCCGAUGAAGAUAAUGACGGUAGUCGGAGAAGAAGCCCCGGCUAGCUUCGUGCCAGCCGCCGCGGUAACAC
rnacentral:rRNA from 1 species